AGAAACUUCACCAACAGAAAAACCCUAUCAUAGGUUGAUCUAAUCCUUUCAAAGACAAGGAGAGUUAAGGAUUUACAUCACAUCUCUGCUCACCUGGGAGAAUUCACCUCCUCCUCCUCAUUGCUACAGCAGCUACUUCUUGCUGUUGGUUGGGUAACUCAGGAGAGCUUUGCUGUAUGAAAAGCAGCCUUUGGAUCCUCUUCAGAAGAUGAACAUCUCUGCAGGCUGUAACCAGAAAAGAGAGGGGAGCAGGGUGUGAGAUGAGUGUGAGAUCAGUGUGCCCCCACAGCUGCUGCCUUUGGGAAAGCUGGACUGGAGCUGCUCCUGUAACAGCCUCAGCCUGGUUGGUGGAAGCCUUGCACAGGUUUUUGGAGGGAAGUUCCAGAUCAGAUUCCUCAUCCUGAGCCUGCCCAUCAAGAUCUCAUUUGCCAGAUAACAGGAGCAGCUUGUGCAGUGCUCAGGGUGCAGUCACAUCGUGCUGGAGAUUAAACCCGAGCUGAUGAAUGAACCCUUCACUCCUGUGAGUAAUUGCCAACCAUUAAAGCCUUAAACUGGCAACAGUCCUGCAGCACAGUCAGGGAAAUGGUAAAAAGCUGUAAUUGCAACCUGUGCUCCUUCACAGUAAUGUCAGUCUUAUUGUGGCACAUGCAGAUUGAGUGCUGUGCCACUGUACACUAAUAUAGAGUAUCAGUGCUGCCCACCCCAGCAGGAACCUCUGGAGCUGCAACCCAUUGGAAAAGGUCUUUGAAGGCUCUAAAUAUCCCACAUUGCUCCCUGUUUCUAAAUCAGAGCAAUGGAAGCUAAAUAUAGGCUGACUCUGGUUGUGACAGAUCAUGAAAGCAAUUCUUAUUCAUUUUGAUUCUUGCCCAGAAUAUCCUUCUUGCAGUCCUACUUCUGAACCGUUGAAGAAAACAACCCUGACAAGUCACCCUUCAGCCUGAGCUGCAGAGAGGAGAGGCUCUGCACAGCAGAAUGCAGACUGAAACACAGAAUUGGGCAUUUCCCUCCUUUCUGUACCAAACCCAGACUCCCAUCAGGUGUCAGGGCCAGGAGCUUUACCUGCUUUCCCUGGCACUGCUGCGUUGGUGCCAUCAGCACUCUGGUUUCAUUCAUGGUUCAGGGAUCCAUCACCCAGGGGAUGCUUUGGAAUGCUCUGGAUCCAGUCUUGUGGCUCCAUCACUCAGGGGAUGCUCUGGAUCCAGGCUCAGGGCUCCAUCACCCAGAGGAUGCUUUGGCUGCCCUGGAUCCAGGUUCAUGGCUCCAUCUGCCCAGAGGCUGUCCUGGAUCCAGGCCCGUGGCUCCAUCACCCAGGGGCUGCCCCAGACUCAGGUUCAUGGCUCCAUCACCCAGAGGAUGCUCUGGGCUGUUUGGAUCCAGGCUCGUGGCUCCAUCACCCAGAGGAUGCUUUGGCUGCCCUGGCACACAGCGCUGCCAGCCCUGCUGCACCCAGGCCUCCCCAGCCCCAAAGGUGGAGAAUGAAAAGCUGAGGCCGCUGUCAGAGAGCAGGGCAGUUCCUGAGGAAGGAGUGGCUGCACAAGCCUGAUGCUCGGGCACUGGGCAUUCCUGACAACAGGGGUGGUGCCCCGAGGAGGCAGGAACAGGCUCCCACCGUCCCUCUGGGAAGCAGAGCAUUCCUGAGAACAAGAGCACAGCGAGGAUUUUAUCUGUUGUACAUGCUGUGUACAGCCUCCCAGGGAAUACAGCUGCAUUCACACUUUAAGGUUAAAAUCCAGACCAGUGGAGAAAUGGAGGUGUUAUUCCUGCUGUGGGAACAGUGACGAUUACAAAGGGAAAACACAGGCAGACAGGAGGAAAUUCAGCUUGGUCUGUCUGUGGUACUGGCAUCCCAAAGGCAGUUUCUCUUCUGUUUCCAGGCAUUCUGGAAGCACUGUAAAGCCCCAGAGCCACAGAAAUCGCAAAUUUACACCUGAAGGUUUUGCAUCUCCAGCUCAGGAAAUGGAGGCAGGGCUGCAGGAACAGAUGGGAGCUAUCAGCCAGCUCAGGAGUGAUGUGCCUCAGGAGGUGCUUCAUUUGUGGAGCUGCUGAGAUCAAACAAUCACAAAGAUCCUUGGCACCAUCCAGAGAAGGGGAAUUGGGUUCCUAUGGCCCAGUUCUCCCUUUCAGACAUUUGCUGUAAGCCUGGGGGAGGACAGGGGGGCGCAGGGACCCCCAGGCUCCCCCUGCCCCACAGGAGCCUGGCUGGGGAGGCAUCCUGCAGGUACAGAAUUAGUGUCAGAGGGAGGCACAAGGCACCUUCUGCUCCUACAGAAUGAAACAGAGCAGGGCUAAUGGUGAGCUCCCAGAAGUGCACGAGAAAUGUGAAUGUCAGACGCCCAAAAUAUUGUUAAACACGAGUGAUUUGCGAAUUAAAAUAUUACCAGGCUGCUAUUUUUAGCCCAGUGGAACCUUUAGUCAUUCCACAUUUAGAUGGCUUAUCAGAAUUAAAUAAAUAACAGCAAUGGUUACUGCUCAAAUUAGGUCUGUCUCGGUUUCCAUGGCAUCCAAUCUGUUAUCUCCAAUACUCCUGCCAGGAUUUGUAGUGGGGCUCUGGGACAGCAACGUUUCUUAUAAGGCUUAUAAGGAAUUAUCCUGUAGCAAUUUCAGCUAUAUGGUUUCUAUGAAACCCUGGAAUAAAUGGAU